GUUAAACUUUGAACACCGAAACCAUAGCGCCAAGAACAAAGCUAAACUGGUUUGGAAUCGUUGUGGGAAUUAACCAAGGUUGACGCUACCUGAAAAUCAGUUGGUUAGAGUAGAAGGGGCGGGCCCGUAUUGUUCCUCGGAGCAAUUCUUCCAUUUCGGAAGUGACUUGUGUGAAUAUUCCCCAAGUUUGAAGUGGAAUCAUUAUUUGGUAAUCUGUCAAUGGCGUAUAGAGGGCGUGGACGUGGUGGAUUUGGAGGAGGUGGCGGCGGUUUUGGCUAUGCCAUUCAAGUUCCCUUUUAGGUUUUUCCUGAUGUUGAUUUGCCUAAUGUCAAAGGUAUAUUUGAUCCAGAGAAGAAGGUAAACAAGGGUCUGAGUGAGGAAGAAAACUUGUCAAUCAAAGUCUAAAGUUUCAAAAAAUUUGGAAAGGCUCUCUUUUGUAUCUUGAGCAGACCACUUCAAAGGGCUAGCAUGAUCUACUUUAAAACUCGUUGUUUAUGUUUUUUUUUUC